UAGGAAAUAUCACUCAAAGCUUGUGUCCAUUCUAGGACUGCCUGAGAGUCUUUUCCUAACUUUUGUUCAUGUUUGGCCAUAGCUUCACCAUACCUGCCUUUUAGAUGCCUUAUGUUGGUUGGUUCCACUUCAUAAAAUAUUGGCAAAACCAAUUGUUUCUUCCUCCUUCGGCAGUCAAGAAUCUUGACAAGUUCUUUAAGACACCAUUUGGAGUCUGCAAAGUUUUCAGACAAAACAACAAUUGCCAACCUUGACUCUUCAAUAGCUCCAAGAAGUUCCUCAAUUGGGGAUCCAUCCUCCAAUGAUUGAUCAUCUUUGAAAGUCUGGAAUCCUUCCUUACACAAAGCGUCAUAGAGAUGCUUUGUGAAUAUCUCCCUAGUAUCAAUUCCUCUAAAACUAAUAAAAAUUUGGCAGCGGGCAGUUGAGUGGCUUAGACUGACUAAUGUUUCUUUCCAUUUUUUCAGAGAUUUAUUUUUCAAGGAAGUCACCACCUUUUCAACUAAUCCAGCAGUGUCAAAGCUUCAAGAUUAGAUAAGGGAUCAAGAGAAAUGGAACAAUCACAUCUCAUCAAGACACAGUCUGCCUUAUCACGUGUGGUUAAAAGAACUUUACAUUGUUUGCUAUUAUAAGGUAUGCCUAAUUCCUGCGGUUGAUACUUUGUCGGAAAAUUGUCCAAGAUGACCAGAGUAGUUCUAUCCCUCCUUUCUAAUGCCAAAAUUAUUUUCAUUGCUCUCAUGCCAUCACUGUCAUCACUUUCAAAAUGCACGUUCAAUGAGCUAGCAAUUCCCUCCUGAAUGCUCUUGAUAUCUUGGUUAAUGGAAACUGUGGGAAAUAUAACUCUACAAAAAAUCUUUUCAUACUCAUCUAUCUCAACUUUCACUAAAGAUGUUUUACCAGAGCCUUUCUUUCCAUGCAAUCCAAUUACGCAACAACUUUCAUCUUUUAGUGCCUCUAUAAUUUUCUUUGAAGCAUUUUUCGUAGAGUUGAAAUAAUAACCAAAGUUUCCAGAAGGGAAGGAGUGUAAACUUGGGCUUAGUGUUGUAUGAGAAGUACCAUGCUCUGGAACAUCUUUUGCAGAAUUGUACUUCUCCGCCUCCUGCACCUUCUUCCUUAAGCCAUUCUUGGCAGGGACCAUGUUCUUGUGCUUCUCAUCCCCAACCUUGUACUUCUCCGCCUCUUGCACCUUCUUCCCCAAGGCAUUCUUGGCAUCGACCUUCUUCUUGUGCUCCUCAUCCUCAACCUUGUACUUCUCCGCCUCCUGCACCAUCUUCUCAAUCUCCUCCUUCGUGAGCCUGCCCUUGUCAUUUGUAAUAGUGAUCUUGUUGUUCUUUCCAGUAGUUUCGUCCUGAGAAGAGACAUCCAAGAUACCAUUUUCAUUAAUUGCAAAGCGAAUAUUGAUACGAGGAACACCCCUUGGAGCAGGAGGAAUUCCAGAAAGCUCAAAUUCACCCAACAAGUAGUUGUCCCGGCUUCUGGUUCUCUCACCCUCGUACACCUGGUGUAAGAUCAAGUUUUGAUCUAGUAGUACAACUCUAUGUUUUGAUGAUUACAAGUUAACCUUUUGAUAUGAACAAUUGUGGUACUCUAACGUGUUUUUCUGAGUGUGCUAUUUACAGGCUCUGACCUCAACUCAAUCUCACACAAAUCAGAAGCACUGUGUAUAAAGAGUGACCCAAGCAACGCUUUCGCAUUCACCAUGUUCAGUAUGAACAGUGGAAAAGCUUCAGAAGUUCUGAAGCUAUACAAACUCUGAUGAGGACUCAGUCACUAGAAGCUCUGAAGAUCCAGAAAGUCUGAUAACCAAGAAACACUGAAGGCUCAGAUAUUCUGAUGGUGUAGAAGACUCUGAAGAUCCAGAAGCUGAUUAGUGAAGUUCUGAUGUCCAGAAGCAAGAUACUCUGAAGACCAUGUUCUUCCCUCUGAGUUCAGAAUCAGAAGAAACAAUGGUCAGAGGAUCUGGGCUUUCCCUCUGACUCUGAUCAACCGGCUUCACAAGUUCCAAUAUGAAGCAUUCCCCUGAUCAGAAGUCUCCUAGGUUUAAAGGUCGCGUCGCUAUCCAAGUACAAAAGCAACUGUACCUUCCUGACGACCUACCUAACGUUCUCAGCCACAGCAGAAGCUGGAUUUUCCAGAACUGCCCUCCAACGGUAGCAUUUCCCAUGCAUCGCUCAACCCUAAUCCUUGGAGUAUAUAAAGAGGCUGAAGACUGAAAGAAACGGCUAGAAGCAUUCACAUACGCAAGACAUAUUCAAAAUCUUCUAAGUUUUCUUUCAUCUGAAAUUCAUUGAGUUUACUAUUAGCUUUUUAGAAGCAAAUCUCUUGUAAACAAUUCUUUGAUAAACAGUUUGUUUAGUUCCUUUAGGAGAUCAAGGUUGAUCGGAUCCUAGAGAAUACUAAGAGAGUGAAUCUUAGUGUGAGCUAAGUCAGUGUAAUUGUUAGUCACUUGUAGGUUUCAAGUGCAGUUGUAACUCUUACCUGAUUAGUGGAUUGCCUUCAUUCUAAGAAGGAAGAAA